CCCACAAAAGCAGUAAGUAUAACUGUCUUCUUAGGCAGACAAGAAAACUUUGAUGAUGCUCGAGGCGGACCAUUCCCACCAGAUGAAGACAUCAA